rnacentral:tRNA from 1 species
UGGGAAGUGGCUCAGUGGUAGAGCACUUGCCUUGCAUGCAUGAGGCCCUGGGUUUGAUUCCUCAGCAUCACAU